rnacentral:pre_miRNA from 1 species
GAGAUACUCCUAUGGAGCAGGACUUGCUUCAGUGGGGCUUUGGUGUUCACUGAGCCUGCUUCUUGAGUGUGUUGCU